AGACCAUGAUGUGGGCAACACCUAAAAAAGUCUUUGUAUCUAUCCAAAGCUUCAUAUAUCGAUUCACCAUCAAACUAUAUGAUAUCAUUCCUCAUUUU
rnacentral:snoRNA from 1 species